GAUAAUCUACUAUUUUUGUUUGUAGAGAUAUGAAUGACUUCAACAUUUCGCGGCUUCUUCAUUAGGCGAGAAGGUUGAGGAGUUUUAGGAAGUGUGGCAGCUUCGGUUGUAGUGGUGCGCCGGGUAUUCAAUUUCGGAGAAAGGUUCCUCCUGCCUUUGGAUUUCGUAACUUCGGCCCAGCUUUCCGGUAACUGAUCUAGAGGUUUAUCGGAGUUGACCGUUACUAACGGGGUGUGAGCAGGGAUACUCAGGUUCGUUGUUGUGGAAGGUAUGUUUAGUGAAGAUGGACCCAUGAACGGAGUAGGGGAGGAAGGUGCCGAAGGGGGAACAAAAUCAUAGGAGGUUUUGGAUGCUUGCGUGGAUAAUUGGAGUUCGACCGACUUGAGUCGAGAUUCAAGUUGUCUAAUCCGAUCAAUUAGAGGAGGUUGAGCGAACGACUUCUAUCUUCUUUACGCAGCCAAGAAGUGCUCCAGUUAUAUUUGAAGAAGUGUCGUCACAUUCAGAAGAGAUGUUACUCGCUCCUUCGACGUCGGAGAUAUUGGCGUCGUCAUAUUCGAGCACUCUUCGAGGCAAGGGCCCUUUUGCGCUUAAUGGAGGAAGUGGAUACGGGAAGGGCCUUAGAGAACGAUUCGUCGCCUGCUAUGCCAGUUAAACCUCGACUGCCAGACGGUGGAGUACGAGUAAGGGAGUGACGAGGCGUAUGUCCCAAAACAUAG